rnacentral:rRNA from 1 species
AGUGAACGCUGGCGGUAGGCCUAACACAUGCAAGUCGAACGGCAGCACAGGAGAGCUUGCUCUCUGGGUGGCGAGUGGCGGACGGGUGAGGAAUACAUCGGAAUCUGCCCAGUCGUGGGGGAUAACGUAGGGAAACUUACGCUAAUACCGCAUACGACCUUCGGGUGAAAGAGGGGGAUCGCAAGACCUCUCGCGAUUGGAUGAGCCGAUGUCGGAUUAGCUAGUUGGCGGGGUAAUGGCCCACCAAGGCGACGAUCCGUAGCUGGUCUGAGAGGAUGAUCGGCCACACUGGAGCUGGGACACGGUCCAGGCUCCUACGGGAGGGAGCAGUGGGGAAUAUUGGACAAUAGGCGCAAGCCUGGUCCAGCCAUACCGCGUGGGUGAAGGAGGCCUUCGGGUUGUAAAGCCCUUUUGUUGGGAAAGAAAUCUUUCAGGCUAAUACCCUGGGAGGAUGACGGUACCCAAAGAAUAAGCACCGGCUAACUUCGUG